ACUCUAGGGGGAGGCCUUGCUUUAGUUUUCAUAAAAUGCAAUAAGAGUUGAAGAAGCUGCAGUGGCUCAGUGAGGCUGUACUCGACAGCUAAAUGUUAAUAUCAUGGGGCAAUCAUGGCUGUAGUCUCUUGUUUAUUUUCCUGCAUAACACAAUGCAGGAGACCUAUAUUAACAUUUCUAGAGCAAUUAAAAGAAGCUUGGGCUGCAUCACUCUGCAUGAAAAGAAGUAAAGGUGUUGAGCAACAGAUGAAUACCCUCCUGAGAUCAGAGAGCGUCCUGCUGGAGGAACAACACUGCUGUGCCGUCAGUUGAUUCUACACACCUGGUCACACAUGACCCACCUCUGAUUGGCCUGUUUGGAAACCAGUGGUCCAAUCACAGGCUACCACACCAUAGAAGGACAUGUCAGCUUCAGCAGACAGAGCUCUUCUGUUAGUGUGUUUUUCCGUGCGUUCAUGGACAUCGGAAAAAAUGUUUUUCCGAGUGAAAACGUCACCAUUCACGUAACUUCCUGUGGGAA